rnacentral:rRNA from 1 species
AGCAGCCGCGGUAAUUCCAGCUCCAAUAGCGUAUAUUAAAGUUGUUGCAGUUAAAAAGCUCGUAGUUGAAUUUCGGGAUCAAUAUGUUGGUCGUGCCUUGGUACGUACUGGCAUUAUCGAUUCCUACCUUCUGAAGAACCUCGAUGUCAUUAAUUUGGUGUCUUGGGGAAUCAGGACUGUUACUUUGAAAAAAUUAGAGUGUUUAAAGCAGGCUCGCGCUUGAAUACAUUAGCAUGGAAUAAUGAAAUAGGACGUUUGAUUCUAUUUUGUUGGUUUCUAGGAUCGACGUAAUGAUUAAUAGGGAUAGUUGGGGGCAUUAGUAUUCAAUUGUCAGAGGUGAAAUUCUUGGAUUUAUUGAAGACUAACUACUGCGAAAGCAUUUGCCAAGGAUGUUUUCAUUAAUCAAGAACGAAAGUUAGGGGAUCGAAGACGAUCAGAUACCGUCGUAGUCUUAACCAUAAACUAUGCCGGC